ACGAGGUGUUUUCAAAAUAGGUCACAUUGGAAUAUAAGAGUGACUGGGAGAUCAAUACGAUCAAAUGAACUUAAUGUUGCGUGUCCACAGUAGACACUACUAAAGGUUGUUAACCUUCUUGUAAUCACAACACACACAAGUGAUGGCGUCCCAUCCAACUCCUAUCACACAGACAGGUAUACCUUGUGUCCCCUAUAAAUAGGGUUGUUCAUCCCAAUCAAAUUGAAGAAAUGUUAAGGAAUAUCAGAGAAUAUCAAGGAAUAUCAACAAUAUCAAAGAACACUAAGGAAUAUCAAGGAAGAUGAAAGGGUAUCAAGGAAUGUCAAGAAAUGUCAAACAAUAUCAAGGAACAUCACUGUCUCUUCACAACAAACCUUUAUCACACAUCUUUGCUUGCCAACUCAUACCAAUAAUCAAUAUCAAUGUCAUCUUAGAAUUUGAGAAAUUGAAGAUCUCAUUUAUCAAAACUUUGGUCGAAAGGAUAUCAUGAUAAUAUCUCACUGAUGAGAAAAGAAUUAAAAGAACCUUUAGUUGAAGAGAGGUAUUGCCAAGGUCUUCUCAGAUUUUCGUUCCGCCUCAAUAAAUCAUUGUUCGAUAUAUGUCUUCUUUUCAACGUUCUUGAUAAUCAAUCGAUUUGACUCGUAAUAGCCUCAUAAGAUGUCAUCGUAGACGUUAUCGUUCGUAAUAACUCUCGCCCAUGUAGUCCACGUUCUCAUGCUUCAUCCAGUUGCCUUUGAAGUCCAUAACACAACACGUAGCAUAUCUUCGAUUUUCUGAAUCGUCGCCCUGUGGGUUAUGGGCCCACCUUGUCCCGCUUACUUAAAGCGUCGUCGUCGAGGACUAACGUUCUAACUUACUCGUAGACAUCAUCUCUAAUAACUGGACUCAAUUCCACGUACUCUCUAUCAUUCACUUCUCACCUAUCAACCAAUCUCUCCUUCUAAUCCAAUACAACUCAUACUCUACACUUACUCUUCAUAUCUUCACUCAAAACAAUAUACAUCUUCCAAAUAUCUGACAUGGUCAACAUACUAUGAACCAUGCAUUUAUAUCAUCCUCAAAUCAAUACAAUAACCCAGUUUCACAUAUGCAGUAUAGUCAGAAUACUCUGAACGCUGCAUUUUCGCCAUUCUCAAUUAAAUCAUUCACUAUCAAACUCUUCUAUCUAGGUCUAAUCUUGACCUUUCACGCAAUUCAUCAUCUCAAUUAGUCAACAUACUAGAAAUCCAAGUGUCUAGACUUAAGAAUCAAAAUCUCUCUAAACCUAUACACUCAACUUGAUCGUCUAACCAGAUUCUAUACCUCUAUCGCAUCUCUAGACUAUUUCUAAAUAGUCUCACAAUACCUCUGUAUGAGGUCACACAACAUUCCUCAUCAAUAGAACUUAAACUAUAAUCUAUAUUCAAAUUUCAAUAACUUGUAACCUGUUGCUCUGAUACCAACUGUGACGGUCCAGGAAUCCGGGGGUCUGGAUUCUGACGUCACCACACAAAACC
rnacentral:lncRNA from 1 species